UGAACUUCAUGCUGACCAUUUCCUCC
rnacentral:piRNA from 2 species